UCUGGUUUACUGCGUCUGUAUCCAUAGACAACAUUCUUUACUAAUUUGAUUAAAAGUCAAGCUUAGAAGGAAAACAAAUCUCUACUUCCUCAACUUUUAAUUAUACUAACAAUUUGACUAAAACACAGACAGGAUUUCCUGCAACAGCAUCUUUCUGCUAAAUUCAUAACGGAGAAAAGGUUUGAAUCGUUAUAAUCCUUUCCAGCAAGAAUGUUCAAAAGGAAGUUUAUUCCUUGCUUUUCAAAAGAAUGAAUCUUUAGGAACCGAAAAGAAUUAUUAAAACGCUUAGUGGAACAUUAAAUAUGUUUAUGCCCGUGAAAGAGGUAAAGACCGAGGACAUACCGUUGAACAUAGUCAGCUUCCUUCGUUACUUUUGCCGCAACAAUAUUCGAUACUGAUAUGUCUUUUGUAGGCUCUCUGCCCACUGCAACAGCUAUUAGUUCUCCCUCCCUUUUUCUCUCCCCUUCUCCUUCUCUGUCUUUAUCGCUGUAGUUGAUGGAAUUUGAGCAUUCCAACAUGACUCCAAGGAGAAAAGGCCGAUCAUCGUAGAGGCUCAGCAGAAACUGCGAAGCUUCAUUGGAAGGCCAAAAGAUUACGCUUUACCCUUUCUCUUAUAACUCGUUACUCCUGUAUACAAAAAGAAAAUAUCGCACCCUGCUCUUCAUUUCAAGACAUUUUUGGGAUUAGCAGCAGCAAUUUUAGAGUAUAGAAAUUGACGCUGUAUAAAUGGGAUUGGUGGGAGGCAUAGAAUGGAUGAAUGCUUACAGUAGGAAGCAAUUCAGGAAACUGUUCUGGAGGAUGAGAGCAGCGAUGAAGAAAGCCAUCAAGAACGGAGGAAAAAGAAGGUUCAAUUUUCAAUAUGAUCCUUGCAGCUAUGCUCUAAAUUUUGAUGAUGGGUUUUGCAAAUUUGAAGCUGUUGCACCUGAAGAACCUGCAAAGAUUCAGAUUAGCUCAAAUUUGAAUCACUCUCCCAUGUGGGUUUUUGUACUUCUGGUGAAAUCUGAGUGAAUUUUCUUGAUUGGCAGAUUGACUCUUUGCCUGCUCAUUUUCUUCUGCAUCCUUGAUUAGAAGCCAUCUACUUGCAUUUUUUGUACAUCUAUGCUUGUCUAUGAUCUUCAAUAUUAUUAAUUGGUUCUGUUUCGAGAGAAAAA